GUCUAUUCACGAGGCCGCCUCUGAUUAUUUACUUUUUACUUUGCAAUACGUCAGUUUGAGGAAAUGAGCGAGAUAGAGUAGGCGAGUUCUUUAAUGCAUCAGUGGAUCUAUUGGUCCAUUCGAAACAUUAACGCGUUUCUAUUUGUAGAAGGAAUGGAAAUAUUUUGAUGAAUUUAAGAACUCGCCAAUCGUUCAUUGUUCAGUAAUUACCAGAAAUCCAGUUUGCUACAAACCAUUCUUGUGAGAAAAGAAUACUCAUAUACUAGUGUUAUGAGACAUCAUUGACUGUGACCUCGUAAUUUGUAACUAGAACCGGUGAGACAGCUGUCAGAUUUUCAUCGUUCAGCAACAGGCAAUAGAUUCAGUUGUUUUAAGUCACUGUGAUUGCGUUGUUUAAAGAUAGUAUUUUUUUUGAUUCAGUGAAUAGUUGGUUGUAGUUGUUACAGCGAACAAGUGUAAAUUGAAUAUCCGAAGAAAAAAAAUGGCUCCCACAGUUUAUCCCUACGAAAACUUUGAUGAUGAAGAAGAUGC